GUCUAUGCCUAUACCUCCCUGAACCCUCCCGAUCUUGGAAGCUAAACAGGGCUGGGCCUGGUUAGUAUUUGGAUGGGAGACAUUCUGUACCCAUGAACU
ensembl:rRNA 5S_rRNA 5S ribosomal RNA